CCCCUCUGUGUGCUUCUGUGUAACCUGAUUUGCAUAAACAUGAGUAAUUUAUGAAUAAUAAAUGCACUUGUAUUCGGCAUGAUCCGUUAAUUUGCAUAUCACCAUGGCACUACAGUUAUUUUUCCUGCUUGCUGCGCUAUCAUGAAGCCAUAAGAACUCGCAUAAAGCCGAAUCAAAAAGGAGAGUUAAAAGGAGUCUGGUGUCGACAGGCCCCGGCAUAUGGUGGCAAGGCCUAUUCAUUGUCAGGAGCA
ensembl:lncRNA